rnacentral:rRNA from 1 species
UACAGAGGCCUCGAGCGUUAGGCGGAAUCACUGGGCUUAAAGCGUGUGUAGGUGGAUGCCUAAGUACCUUGUGAAAUCCCACGGCUUAACCGUGGAACUGCUGGGUAUACUGGGUGUCUUGAGCCACUCAGGGGCUACCGGAACAAAUGGUGGAGCGGUGAAAUGCGUAGAUAUCAUUUGGAACGCCAAUGGUGAAAACAGGUAGCUGGGGGUGUGCUGACACUGAGACACGAAAGCCAGGGGAGCAAACGGG